rnacentral:lncRNA from 1 species
GUCCAGACAGAUUUGUUGCUUAAUGAAUGAACUACCAUUCAUGCCAGCUGCCUCCUCUGAUUUACACAGUUCUUCAUCCACCAUCCAUUCUUACAUAACAUCACUAGAUCCUUCCUAAAUAUCCUGUGGCAAUUCCUCCUCAGGAGAGCCUGAGGAGGAAGAAUCAGUAAAGCCCUGUUUUCUAAACAGUUUUUGUUCAUCCCUAGUCUUAAUCCAAACCAAUGUAAGACACUGUGAAAGAUAACUGUCUGUCAGGUGUUGAAGACGUUUCUUUUUUUUUUUUUUGCCUUACUAUGAAACUAAUUGGGCUGGGACCAUUUCUUAUGAAAAGCAAUGGCAUCCACGUCCAGCAGUGUGAGGUGAGCAUGAAGUCACAAUAUCCUCUGAACAACAGCCAAAACUUGCUGCUGCAUGGUGAAGCCAAGGUUUUUUUCUUGUUAGGGGUUUUGUUAUGGGGACAUAAUUUUCUGGAUAGGGGCAAAAAAAAAAUGGAAGGGAAAGGUCUUAGAAAGGAAGUAAACACUGAGGAGACCACAAAGCUUCUUGCCGUGGUUUAGGAGCAGCUGCAGCCCAAAGCAUUGUGGGAACGGCUUUCCCAUCUGAGCCCAUUAGUCACCAGAUGUCAUCUGCUGCUGCCAGGGCUUCAAACAGCCAAGCAGACAAUGUCCUAUGCAUGCUGAACAUCUGAAUGCCGACUCCUUCAAUAAUGUGGACAGCUCAAUGGGUUCAAAUGACAUCCUUGAAACACCUGACCUCAAAGCCAUGUUUAUACUGACACCUACAGCUCUGUAAGGAAACACAGGCAAGGCUCAGAUGCAUUUCUAGGCUGGCACCGUGAGCACUAUUUCUCAUUUAUUUAAAGAAGAAAGGGAGAAGGAGAGAGAAAACCCUGCUCUUUGAAAGAUUAAUUGAGUGGAUUUGCUAGAGGAAAUAGACUUUUGAUUGACUUUUUGCGUUUGUUGCAUUUCAUUUGCUUUUCCGGUGUGGAGCAUCGAAAAGGACUAUUAAAAAGGUGAUUUAGAUCCAAGCAAAACAUGAUUUGUUUGAAUGUUAAAAAUGUGUGUUUUGUUUGAAAACACUAUAGCAAGCCAUGUACUUGAAUGAUACUCCCCACCCCCACUGCAACACAGAGACAUUGUCAGAGAGACCCUCAAGAACCCACAUUAGAAAGUAACACAUUACAAAUAGCAACAUUCGCUGUAACACGUUACCUUUGGGAGUAACAUGAAGGCAACAAGGCAUAUUUCGCAGGCAGACAUGAUGACUGAAGUUAGCAAUGGGAAGAAAUCUUGCCAAAUUACCGUAUUUUUCAGAAU